CCCUGUUGAUCUGUGUGUGUCUUAUCACCAACCCAUGAAAGCUAGAAGUCACCCUGCUGCUCCAGAUCUACCUACUGAAUGGCUGGCUACAGACUACAACCAUCUGC